rnacentral:snRNA from 1 species
AUAUUUACCUGGCAGGGGAGACACUAUGAUCACCAAAGCAGCUCUCCCAGGAUGAGGUUCACCCAUUGCACUCCGGGUGUGCUGACCCCAGCGAUUUCCCUAAUGCAGGAAAUUCGACUGCGUAAUAAUUUAUGGUAAUGGGACCAUAAUUUAUGGUAGUGGGGGACUGCGUUCGCGCUUUCCCCUG